rnacentral:misc_RNA from 1 species
UAAAAAAAAAAAAAAAAGCCCAUCUCAGAUCUGGCAAAAAAGAGAGAUCUUUAGUGCUUCAACAGAGCAAGCGUGGACAAGAACAGAGAAGAGCAAAUCACAGCUCCAGACAUCCCCAAAGAAAAAGCUGCUCCUUGAUCUGGAGCCGGUGCUGGUGACAAAUCUUGAGCUGAAGCAGCACUAGCAGCAGCAAGAACUGCCACCAAGAAAACAAGAGCCAAAGACUUGAAUGAAGCAGAUGCCAUUAUAAAUCUUGAAAUAAUGAACAAGAGAAAUAGAGAGAGAGAGCUAAACAAGAAGUAGAUGUGCUUGAUUCUUGAAAAUGAAGUGUAGAGAAGGGGAGAGGCAU